UGUCACUCACAAUCUAUGGGAUUGGAGAAGAAUUCAAAAGAAAUAAGGUACGUAGAAGCUUAACAUGAAAUCCUGAACAACAGGCUAAGUAAUUUGAUUUAUCCCUUAAAAAUAGGUGCUGAGGUUUUUUUUUUGGGGGGGUGGGGGGGGAGUGGGGUUUCCAGAUUGUUUUUCAAAAUUUCACUGAUUUUUGUUUUCAAACAUUAUGUUUUAAAUCUCAUUUUACACUCAGAACUAGCAAAUAGCUUAUGAAAUAGGGCUUGGGAAAUAGGAUCUUUAUAAUUUUAGAAAUUUUGGCUACCUCAAAUGUGUUAAGCAUGGCAGAUGGAUGUGCAGACAGCAUGUCUUAAUUUUUGUUCUAGAAGAAAAUCCUUAGAGUUGUCCCUGCUUUUUUUUCUUUUUUCUUGACUUUCCCCCUUUCACUGCUCCAGAGCCUUACGUUUUAUGUCCUAAUUCAUGAUUUCACCUGCACUACUGCUUGACUCACCCCUCCGUGAGUUCCACCUUUGGUGGGAAUCAGCCAUACUAAUGCGCAAUCAAAUCUGCCAGAUGAAGCAUUCUAUGUGUCCACCUUCCUGAUGCAUUCAAGUCUGGCCACCUUUUAAAAACACUUUACCCCAAAGACAGAUAGGACUGCAGGUGUACCAGAGCUUAGACACGGCAAUAAUCUCACAGACUUGUUGUUGACUCAUGUGAUUUCUUUUGGGUCCAGUUGGGCAGCCAAUGUGGUGUGGUUUUCUGGAAAGGGAGGGAAUAGUUAGAAUGGAGAGAGAAGAAGAAGGAGAAGGAGAAGAGGAGGAGGAGGAAGGAGAGGAGGAGGAGGAGGAGGAGAGAAGAGGAGGGGAGGGGAGAAGAGGGAGGAGGGGGGGGAGGGGGGGGGGGAGAGGGGGGGGAAGGAGGAGGAGGAGGAGGAGGGGAAGGGAGAUUUGGGAGGACAGGAGGAAUGGAGGUGAGCCUCUAGAAUAGGGCUUCUAGAAAUGGACAGUUCUUAGUGAUUGAUUUGCAAUGAUUUUUCCCUUUUCAGAUUCCAGAUGAUGGACUCUAUGAAGAAUUAAACAUUUAUUCACCAAUUUACAGUGAGUUGGAAGAAAAAAUAGAAACAUCUUCUCCCACGAGUUCCUAAGAGUCAUAUGCCCAGAACGUUUUGAUUUACAACGUCCAGAAAGCCAAAACCUUUAAAAGGCAAAAUUUCUAUUCUCAGCAUAGUCUUUCUAACAUUUUAUGUUAGAUUUGUCCUUCAAAUGACAAUAUUUUGUUUUUAUUAUUUCUGAUCAACUAAAUACCAUCACCCCCAUUUGUAGAUACUUUUCUUAUUUUGUGUCUUGAUCUCCAAGCGAUCACUCUGGAAAGCCAACAUAAAAUCCCUGGACUUUUACUGUAUAACUCUGCAAAGAUGGAAAAAGAGGAGGCUGGACUGAGAGUUGAGCUAAACUUGGACAGUUUGGUGAUAUUUAGUUCUUAGUUAUUUUUAGAGUUCCUUAUAGCUAUAGUUAUGUAUGAUAUGCACCUGUAUGCACAUACAUAUACAUAUAUGACUUACAUGAUAUGCAGUUUUCUAUAUCCAAAUAUACUACUCUCCCUCAAUGACAACACACUUUUGCAAAAACACUAGUUUUAUAACAGUAUAUUGCCUGAAUCACCAGUUCAUUCACUGAUACAGUGUAGUUCAACAGUGUUUGGUGAAGAGGUAGUGGGGAGUUUAUUCAGCUACCGGCAUCUGGUGAGAUGGACAGGUAAAAACAGGAAACCUGUAAGUGGAAAGAACAUUUCGUAAGGCAUUUGUGAUGAAGGAAGAAUAACGAAGGUGUGAAUUGAAAUGAGUGGUCAUGGAGAGAAGUGAUCAUAUCUAAAACACGUAGCAAAAGAUCUACCUAAAUAAACUAGUAGAUCUUACUAACAAGUUAAAGAAUAAAGUUAAGCAAGCAAGGGUUUGACUAAUACAUUAAGUGUUUGAGUCUAAGAUGAAAGGAGAACACCUAGUCAUUUUGGAAAAAAAAUAUUAGGAGUUCAGAAAUAUGAGGUUUGAAUGAGGCUCACAGAUAGCCGAGGGGAAGCUCAGUUUUAGACUUGCAUCUUGAGGGAAGUGCAGUGGAAAGGCCUGAUGGCGUCCAACACAAUUUGGUGAUAGAGGUUUAGUUUAAUUACAAGGGAGUUCGUUAUUAGGUUAAUGCUCUUAAGAGUUAUUUUGAGAUGAAGGAAAGCCAAGUUAAACUUUAUAUGCUUAUAAUACGAGGGAAAAAAAUAAUGUUAAAAUCUAGAAGACGUAAGAAUUAGUUAAAAAAAAAAAGUGCCCGAGAAACAGAGGAUAUCAGGUAUCCCAAUGUAGAUAAAAGUGAAGCAAAGAGAAAAUAACUCACACUUAGAGGGGGAACAUGUAAGCUUGGGAGAAGUUCACAGUGACAUAUAGACUCCAGGUAUGCAAAGAGAUGGGAAAGAGAAAAUAGCAAAAUAAAUGAAUGCAAAAGACACAGAGGCAUUCCAUCUAGGGGUGUGAAGAGUAGAGGAGUGAAACAUUUGUAAAGGUAUUUGGAGAGAGAGGCCGUGAGGUGUGUGGGGGGGUUAUUGAGCAAUAAGCGGGGGACUGAGUAGAAGAGAGUAAAGAAAAAUUAAGUUAGGCACAUGGUUUUGUUGCUGUUUUUAUUUCUAAAAGAAGGAAAGAGUCAGUCCUGUCUUAAGCCUAAGUGGAGGAGCCCUGUGAGUCACUGAGAAGUCAGUGUAGGGCUCAGGCCCCUCUCUUUUGCCACACACCCACCAGGGGCACACGGCUGGCAUGUUCCUCACCUUUCCAUGGCCCCAGUGAUCAUUCUAAAUUUCAACAACUUCUCUGUAAAGAUUCCCUAAUAUGCAUCUCUUCUUCUAGCCUUUAUUCUUUGCUCCAUAACCACUGUCCCCCUCAUUGAAGCAUAGUAUAAUGAAUUAUUAGCGUACUCAUGAUCUCCUUAUGUAGCCUCAACUGCUAGUAAUUGUGCAAUAAAUUGAAACUACCUAACUUGAUUUCUUGUCUUUGUAC
rnacentral:lncRNA from 1 species